UGGCAUUCCUAAUAUGCAACAGAAUGACGCUCUUCAAAGAGCCAGAGCACAGGCCAUUAUUUCCUAGAUUGUAUCAUGAACAAACUUCACCCUAGUUGAAGGGAUUAGCAGUAGCAAGUAGAGGAACUUCAGCCUAGGGGUUUAUUGUGAAGCUCAGACUCAAUAUUUUAGUUUGCAAGAUGGGCUCCUUGCCAUGUGACAUUAAGACUGGCAGGGAGAACAACAGAUACAGCAGAGGUAAAGAUGAGGCCUGAUCUGAUCUUUGUAUUGCCAAGAGCCCAGCACAGGCCCAUUUGGAGGCCAUAUUUCAGAUGCCUUACCCUCCAUUUGAAGAAAAAAAAAAGCUCUGUUGGAUUGGAGUGCUCAUGUGUCUUCAUUUCAGUGUCAACUCAUGAAAGUUCUCCUUUAUACUCAGUCAUAUUCAACACUUCUCCUGAAUUCCCAGAAUGGCCAUGGAGGAUGUCACAGAAAAAGAGUUCACGCAUCACUUACCAACUCCAGAUGUCCCCGACACCUACUGUUCUUGCAGUAAAAUUGAAAUUUUAAAAAUAACCCAAGUCCAUUGACGUCUUCUGGAUCGGCUUCUUUGAAACAUCUUGAUCUCAAAGGCUCUCUUCUCUCAUAAAACUAUUGAGGAACCAAGGAAUUUUCUUUAUGCAGCUAAUAUUGGCUGUACUGGUAACUAAAAUAGGAGAAAUAAAAUCACUUAUUUAGUAAUUAGUAGCA
rnacentral:lncRNA from 1 species